rnacentral:rRNA from 1 species
GAUGAACGCUGGCGGCAUGCCUUACACAUGCAAGUCGAACGGCAGCACGGGAGCAAUCCUGGUGGCGAGUGGCGAACGGGUGAGUAAUAUAUCGGAACGUGCCCAGUCGUGGGGGAUAACUACUCGAAAGAGUGGCUAAUACCGCAUACGAUCUACGGAUGAAAGCGGGGGAUCGCAAGACCUCGCGCGAUUGGAGCGGCCGAUAUCAGAUUAGGUAGUUGGUAGGGUAAAAGCCUACCAAGCCUGCGAUCUGUAGCUGGUCUGAGAGGACGACCAGCCACACUGGAACUGAGACACGGUCCAGACUCCUACGGGAGGCAGCAGUGGGGAAUUUUGGACAAUGGGCGCAAGCCUGAUCCAGCAAUGCCGCGUGCAGGACGAAGGCCUUCGGGUUGUAAACUGCUUUUGUACGGAGCGAAAAGGUCUCUACUAAUACUAGGGGCUCAUGACGGUACCGUAAGAAUAAGCACCGGCUAACUACGUG